CACGUAGGGCGCAAGCGUUGUCCGGAAUUAUUGGGCGUAAAGAGCUCGUAGGCGGACUGUCACGUCUGCUGUGAAAAGCUGGGGCUUAACCCUGGCCUUGCAGUGGAUACGGGCAGACUAGAGGUAGGUAGGGGAGAAUGGAAUUCCCGGUGUAGCGGUGAAAUGCGUAGAGAUGUGGAGGAACACCAGUGGCGAAGGCGACUCUUUGGCCUGUAACUGACGCUGAGGCGCGAAAGCGUGGGGAGCAAACAGG
rnacentral:rRNA from 1 species